GAUGAACGCUAGCGACAGGCUUAACACAUGCAAGUCGAGGGGCAGCACAGGUAGCAAUACCGGGUGGCGACCGGCGCACGGGUGAGUAACGCGUAUGCAACUUGCCUAUCAGAGGGGGAUAACCCGGCGAAAGUCGGACUAAUACCGCAUGAAGCAGGGAUCCCGCAUGGGAAUAUUUGCUAAAGAUUCAUCGCUGAUAGAUAGGCAUGCGUUCCAUUAGGCAGUUGGCGGGGUAACGGCCCACCAAACCGACGAUGGAUAGGGGUUCUGAGAGGAAGGUCCCCCACAUUGGUACUGAGACACGGACCAAACUCCUACGGGAGGCAGCAGUGAGGAAUAUUGGUCAAUGGCCGAGAGGCUGAACCAGCCAAGUCGCGUGAGGGAUGAAGGUUCUAUGGAUCGUAAACCUCUUUUAUAAGGGAAUAAAGUGCGGGACGUGUCCCGUUUUGUAUGUACCUUAUGAAUAAGGAUCGGCUAACUCCGUGCCAGCAGCCGCGGUAAUACGGAGGAUCCGAGCGUUAUCCGGAUUUAUUGGGUUUAAAGGGUGCGUAGGCGGCCUUUUAAGUCAGCGGUGAAAGUCUGUGGCUCAACCAUAGAAUUGCCGUUGAAACUGGGGGGCUUGAGUAUGUUUGAGGCAGGCAGAAUGCGUGGUGUAGCGGUGAAAUGCAUAGAUAUCACGCAGAACCCCGAUUGCGAAGGCAGCCUGCCAAGCCAUUACUGACGCUGAUGCACGAAAGCGUGGGGAUCAAACAGGAUUAGAUACCCUGGUAGUCCACGCAGUAAACGAUGAUCACUAGCUGUUUGCGAUACGCUGUAAGCGGCACAGCGAAAGCGUUAAGUGAUCCACCUGGGGAGUACGCCGGCAACGGUGAAACUCAAAGGAAUUGACGGGGGCCCGCACAAGCGGAGGAACAUGUGGUUUAAUUCGAUGAUACGCGAGGAACCUUACCCGGGUUUGAACGCAUUCGGACCGAGGUGGAAACACCUUUUCUAGCAAUAGCCGUUUGCGAGGUGCUGCAUGGUUGUCGUCAGCUCGUGCCGUGAGGUGUCGGCUUAAGUGCCAUAACGAGCGCAACCCUUGCCACUAGUUACUAACAGGUAAAGCUGAGGACUCUGGUGGGACUGCCAGCGUAAGCUGCGAGGAAGGCGGGGAUGACGUCAAAUCAGCACGGCCCUUACAUCCGGGGCGACACACGUGUUACAAUGGCGUGGACAAAGGGAAGCCACCUGGCGACAGGGAGCGAAUCCCCAAACCACGUCUCAGUUCGGAUCGGAGUCUGCAACCCGACUCCGUGAAGCUGGAUUCGCUAGUAAUCGCGCAUCAGCCAUGGCGCGGUGAAUACGUUCCCGGGCCU
rnacentral:rRNA from 1 species